rfam:Cavia porcellus supercont2_64 genomic scaffold, whole genome shotgun sequence.
GGGGAUUUAGCUCAGUGGCAUAAGCACCUGCCUUGCAAGCAGGCGGGUGUGAGUUCGAUCCCUG